AAGACUAUAGACCUGCGGAGUACCUGCGGAAGGAUCAUUACAUGGCGGAGAAGGUGGGCAACCUGGCCAACAUCCAGGUUGUGAUGCCUUCACGCUCUUCCACCCUUGUCUAUUUGCACCUUCUGUCGUUCCCUCGGCGGGUUUCGACCCGCCGGCGGCAACAUUGAAAAACCCUUUUUGCAGUUAGCAUUCAAUUCUUCUGAUCAAAUAUUAAAUCAUUACAACUUUCAGCAAUGGAUC
rnacentral:misc_RNA from 1 species